UACCUGGAGCGUGCACUCAUCUGCACUAUACCCAAGACAUUUGGUAUUUUAAACGGAGACGCAAAUAACAGGAUGAAAGUAAGUCUUGCAAAAAUCUGACACCAUUCAUAACCUUCACUGGGAAACAAGGCCAUUUGCCGUUUGUAUUUUCAUCCGUAUAACCGGCAGAUAUCAACGACCUUGCAAUAAAAAACCAAAUCGGUUCUUCAAAUUGUCAAAAUAUUUCAUUAUAAACCACAAUAAUGUCCUCUAUACUUUUUGGCAGAGAAAAUAAAACAAAAACUUGUUUUUAUUUCCAGAGAAGGAUGAACAGUAAUAACUGAUGUAUUCAAAAGCUUGCCAAAUCAGAUACAAGAAGCAUACCGAGAGGCGAGUAAAUAAAUUCAGAAAAUGUUGACCAUGGCCAUUGGUAAACGUCAGAGGAAAAUGGAGUAGUAGGCGGACUCGUAGAGGAGAGGGUGAUGGAAACUGCCACCGUCAUGAAGAGUAAAAGUUUGAAUUCGCUACAACUCU